rnacentral:sRNA from 1 species
GACAGAUGUGGUAGUGCAUACCUGUAGUCCCAGCAACUUGGGAGGCUGAGGCAGGAGGAUCACUAGUUCAGUUUCAGCAACUUGGUGAGACUCUGUCUCAA